CUUGAACGCUGGCGGCCUGCCUAACACAUGCAAGUCGAGCGAGUGGCGGACGGGUGAGUAAUGUCUGGAAACCUGCCUGAUGGAGGGGGAUAACUCCUGGAACCGGUCGCUAAUCCCGCAUACCAUCCGCUGUGCCCAGAUGGGAUUGGCUAGUGGGUGGGGUAACGGCUCACCACGGCGCCUCUCCCUAGCUGGUCUGAGAGGAGGACCAGCAACACUGGAAAGGAGACACGGCCCAGAUGCCUACGGGAGGCAGCAGUGGGGAAUAUUGCAAAAGGGGCGCAAGCCGGAGGCAGACAUGCGGCGGGGAGGAAGAAGGCCUUGGGUUUGUAAAGUACGUUCAGCGGGGAGGCGUUACCCGCAGAAGAAGCACCGGCUAACUCCGUGCCAGCGGCCGCGGUAAUUC
rnacentral:rRNA from 1 species